UUCUCUCUGACUUCCUGAGGCUUCCCUGAGUCACUGCCCAGCCCUAGGGCUGGCAAUACCCUGCCCCUGCUCACCUCCCCAAAGGCCAGGCAGGGCCCCACUCAGCAGGCCGGUGAGGAGUUGGCAAGAACUGGAGUCCUCGGCCUGCCUGGCCUCCCCUUUGGUAUUUUUGCAGCUGGAGACUAUUAGUUGCAAGCAAAAAUCCUUUGUUAUCCAACCCCCUGCACCACAUUAUUUUUCUCUCUCCUAA
rnacentral:lncRNA from 1 species